UACGAAGGGGACUAGCGUUGUUCGGAAUUACUGGGCGUAAAGCGCACGUAGUCGGCUUUGCAAGUCGGAUGUGAAAUCCCCGGGCUCAACCUGGGAACUGCAUCCGAGACUGCAUUGCUAGAGUAUAGUAGGGGUAAAGGGAAUUUCCAGUGGAGCGGUGAAAUGCGUAGAGAUUGGAAAGAACACCGAUGGCGAAGGCACUUUACUGGGCUAUUACUAACACUCAGAGACGAAAGCUAGGGUAGCAAAUGGG
rnacentral:rRNA from 1 species